UACGUAGGGUGCAAGCGUUGUCCGGAAUUAUUGGGCGUAAAGAGCUCGUAGGCGGUGUGUCGCGUCUGCUGUGAAAACUCAGGGCUCAACUCUGAGCUUGCAGUGGGUACGGGCACACUUGAGUGCUGUAGGGGAGACUGGAAUUCCUGGUGUAGCGGUGAAAUGCGCAGAUAUCAGGAGGAACACCGGUGGCGAAGGCGGGUCUCUGGGCAGUUACUGACGCUGAGGAGCGAAAGCAUGGGGAGCGAACAGG
rnacentral:rRNA from 2 species